GAUGAACGCUGGUGGCGUGCCUAAUACAUGCAAGUCGAGCGAACAGACGAGGCUCUUGCUCCUCUGACGUUAGCGACGGACGGGUGAGUCACACGUGGAUAACCUACCUCUAAGACUGGGAUAACUUCGGGAAACCGGAGCUAAUACCGGAUAAUAUAUUGAACCGCAUGGUUCAAUAGUGAAAGACGGUUUUGCUGUCACUUAUAGAUGGAUCCGCGCCGCAUUAGCUAGUUGGUAAGGUAACGGCUUACCAAGGCAACGAUGCGUAGCCGACCUGAGAGGGGGAUAGCCCACACUGGAACUGAGACACGGUCCAGACUCCUACGGGAGGGAGCAGUAGGGAAUGGUACGCAAUGGGCGGAAGCUUGACGGAGCAACGCCGCGUGAGUGAUGAAGGUCUUCGGAUCGUAAAACUCUGUUACUAGGGAAGAACAAAUGUGAAAGUAACUAUGCACGUCUUGACGGUACCUACUCAGAAAGCAACGGCUAACUACGUG
rnacentral:rRNA from 1 species